rnacentral:rRNA from 1 species
AAGAGAGAGACAUGCGCGCAUAUCAAUAAGCGGAGGAAAAGAAACUAACAAGGAUUCCCUUAGUAACGGCGAGUGAAGCGGGAAGAGCUCAAAUUUGAAAUCUUCAAGGUUUUACCUUGACGAAUUGUAGUUUAAAGAAGUGUUUUCUGCUGAAGUUUUGGUAAAAGUUCUUUGGAAUAGGACAUCAUAGAGGGUGAGAAUCCCGUAUUUGACCAUUAUUUUCAGCUUUGUGAUACACUUUCAAAGAGUCGGAUUGUCUGGGAAUGCAGUCCAAAAUGGGUGGUAAAUUUCAUCUAAAGCUAAAUAUUGGCGAGAGACCGAUAGCGAACAAGUACCGUGAGGGAAAGAUGAAAAGAACUUUGAAAAGAGAGUUAAACAGUACGUGAAAUUGUCAAAAGGGAAGCGUUUGACACCAGUGUUGUUUUCUCGAAAAUCAAUUAAAAAUGGCUCGAUUUUGUAUUGCUGAGACCUUAAAAGCUCACUGUACACUUUUCGUGUCUUUUUUAAUGCACUUUUCGUUUAACAAGUCAACAUCAGUUUCUUUUGUUGUAAAAGGGUCAUUGGAAGGUGGCUUUCUUUUCGGAGAAAGUGUUUAUAGCCUUUGGCCUCUGCAAUCGGAGAGAUUGAGGUCUGCAGCGUAGACUCUUCGGGGUUAGAUACAUUUGUGCUAAGUUAUAGCUUUUUAUAGACAACUUGUUGACUAUAAUUAGUCUUGUAGCUUACUCGCUUAUGCUAUUUUACCUACGCUUAGGAUGUUGAGUCGUAGAGCACGCAG